GCAAACUUGGUCAUUUAGAGGAAGUAAAAGUCGUAACAAGGUCUCCGUAGGUGAACCUGCGGAGGGAUCAUUAUUAGAGAGUAAAACCUCUUAAACCCACUGUGAAUUUAUAAAAGUUCAUUGUUCUUUUGGUAGACGAUUCCUGGGAGGAGUCUUUAAGCUGGUAACAGUGUCUGCCAAGAGGACGUAAAACUCUUGUUAAUCUUUGCUAUCUGAGCUUUUAUAAAAAUAAAAUUAAAACUUUCAACAACGGAUCUCUUGGUUCUGGCAUCGAUGAAGAACGCAGC
rnacentral:misc_RNA from 1 species